UACGUAGGGUGCGAGCGUUGUCCGGAAUUAUUGGGCGUAAAGGGCUCGUAGGCGGUCUGUCGCGUCGGGAGUGAAAACUCAGGGCUUAACCCUGAGCCUGCUUCCGAUACGGGCAGACUAGAGGUAGGUAGGGGAGAAUGGAAUUCCCGGUGUAGCGGUGAAAUGCGCAGAUAUCGGGAGGAACACCAGUGGCGAAGGCGGUUCUCUGGGCCUUACCUGACGCUGAGGAGCGAAAGCGUGGGGAGCGAACAGG
rnacentral:rRNA from 1 species